rnacentral:rRNA from 1 species
CCUACGGGAGGCAGCAGUGAGGAAUAUUGGUCAAUGGGCGGGAGCCUGAACCAGCCAAGUCGCGUGAGGGAAGACGGUCCUACGGAUUGUAAACCUCUUUUGCCGGGGAGCAACGGGGUCCUUGCGAGGGCCCGAUGAGAGUACCCGGAGAAAAAGCAUCGGCUAACUCCGUGCCAGCAGCCGCGGUAAUACGGAGGAUUCAAGCGUUAUCCGGAUUUAUUGGGUUUAAAGGGUGCGUAGGCGGUUCGAUAAGUUAGAGGUGAAAUCCCGGGGCUCAACUCCGGCACUGCCUCUGAUACUGUCGGGCUAGAGUUUAGUUGCGGUAGGCGGAAUGUAUGGUGUAGCGGUGAAAUGCAUAGAGAUCAUACAGAACACCGAUUGCGAAGGCAGCUUACCAAACUACGACUGACGUUGAGGCACGAAAGCGUGGGGAGCAAACAGGAUUAGAUACCCUUGUAGUC